AGAAUCGACGCUGGCGGCGUGCCUAACACAUGCAAGUCGCACGAGAAAGGGUAGCAAUACCUGAGUAAAGUGGCGCACGGGUGAGUAACACGUGAAUAAUCUACCUCCGAGUGGGGAAUAACUGAGAGAAAUCUUAGCUAAUACCGCAUAACACUUACGAGUCAAAGCAGCAAUGCGCUUGGAGAGGAGUUCGCGGCCGAUUAGUUAGUUGGCGGGGUAAUGGCCCACCAAGACGAUGAUCGGUA
rnacentral:rRNA from 1 species